rfam:Schistosoma mattheei strain Denwood, Zambia genome assembly, scaffold: SMTD_scaffold0000551
AUGCAGCUGACGAGUCCGAAACAGGACGAAACGCCCAUCUUGAAU